ACUCGUUCACCCCCUUUUUCUCUCACGCAACUUCCCCACCUCUCUCACUUCUCUGCCGAUCCUCCCUCCUCCUCUCUUCCAUUUUGCCUCAAACAUCUUCAUUUUCUUCACCAUAUUCUUCUUCUUUUAUUUAUUUCUUUUCACCAACACCACCACCCGCAUCACCAUCUCCACGGCCGAGCUUCUGAGUCGCCAUUGAGCCACCAUCCACCCAAGCUGAGCCCUCUUGGCCAUGAGCUCAACUUCGUCGAACUGCCACUGUUUGCGCCGCCGUUUGAGCCGCAAGUUUCAAGUUCUCGACGCCAUCACACUGCCGUCACCGGAAACCCGUGAGUUAACUUCCUGAUUGUGGAUGGUGUUAAUUACGUGCAGGGGUGGUUAGUUUAAUAUUAAUAACAGUUAAUAUUUACAAAUUUUAGUUUAGCCUUAAUUAGGAUUAAGGAUGGUUUAGAUUAAAUUUAAGUACGAUUAGUUUAAAUAAUCAUGAUUAGAUUAAUUAAUUUUGGUUAGAUUAAUUAAUUGAGUUUAGUUUAAUCAAUCGUGGUUUACUUAAUUAAUUGUAAAUAUAUUUAUUUAAUAAUUAAUUAUUUAAUAAAUCGUAAUUAUUUUAGUUAAUUUCAAUUAAUUUUUAAUUAAUUGUAGUUAGGCUAAUUAAUUGUGUUUAGCUUAAGUAAUCAUAAUUAGCCUAAUUAAUCGCAAUUAGCGUAGUUAAUGACGGAUUAGCCAUUAAGUAGAAUUUUAUACAUGUUUUACUGGAUGAGUUUACACUUAAUCUGAUCGAUUGAGCAUGUAAUGCCAUGAUAUUUGAUAGCAAACUUCGAGCUGUUGUGUUUGGACGCCAUAUUUUACGUGAUAAAAGGGACAAUGAUAUUUUAAAUUGAAAGUAUGCGAAAUUUGAUAGGUUGAUUUUAACUACAUGACCACAUGCGAUUAUUUUACCGGAAUUUUAAAUGUUAUAAUUUUUCCGAGAUUUGUUAUUUAAGCACAAACUCUUUUACACUAGGCUAAUUGACAGAAGAUAAAAAUUGACUUGAGUGUUGGUGUGUUUGUGUGGUCAUUUAAUUGAAUCCAUCACCCAAUGGGAGUUUGGGAACGAUGCCAAGUCACAGUUGAGACCGAACCAAUGCUCUUUUAUGGAAUACCGUACAGGCGGAGAUUCUAGACAAUGCCGUGCCCGAUGGGGCAGGACCGCCAACUCAUGUGUUGGCUGUGGCCCAAGGAGUUGUAAUAAUCGGGACACGUGUAAAGGAUUGCGAUAUAUUGCGCUUGAUUAUGGGGUAAAACUGUUAGGCAUGGUAUGGGACGUACCAAAAUGGGUUUUACCUUAUAAUUAGGACCCGUGUGGAUGCUUGGUGCAUAAGAGUUAUGUGUUCUGAUUAUUGAUUAUGCUUGUUAUAUUUAAAAUGGCAUAUGUGACGUACUAAUAUGCAGGGGUGUGCCAAGGCAAGGUAAAAUUGUAUGCCGUUGCAUGUUUAGGCUGCCUUCAAGACGAAUUUGCGUCAUAAUCGAGGUUUAGGCUAUUAACUCACUAAUUUAUCUCACCCCAUUGUUGUUAACCAUUUUCAGAGCCAUAGCGUGGAGAAUUGCUAGGUGAGGUUGUGGUGGGCGUGAGAUGCGACACCGUUUUGGCUAGCCCUGCCGUUAGUGAAAUUUAGGUUAACCCUAACCCCUAAAGGUUUUUAAGAGGAUCGAUAGGAAAUGGCCAUAGAAAGGCUUAUAAUUAUUAAACUUCCUAAGGAUAACAAUGGACAAAUAAAUAUGUCAUUUUCGGCAAUACAUGUUGUGUUUUACUAUCCUUGUUGUUUGUUUAUUGACUUGGUGUUUAUUUUACCUGCUUUCACACGUGUUUAAUUGAAAGAUAAAAAGAAUGGAUUGGCGAUGCGUUUUGAGAUGUCGCAAUUUAAUCGACCGCCGAGGGAUGUUCGCGUGCUCAGAGUUCAGGGUGUGACAAAUAGAGGGAAAAAUAAAAGAAAUUAAACAAGAAAAAAGAAGAAGAAUAAUAUAGAAAUUGUAAAAAUUGUAAAAAUUGUCCACAUCGAUAAUUUCUUGCAAAACUUGACAAUAAUUACUAAAUUGCAAAUCCUCAAAAGGUUUAAUAAAUUGGCGAAUUAUCAAAAUGUAUAGAGCACAAUUGAAAGAUCUAAGUCUAAAUUGACAUAAUUGAAAUGUUUAGAACUAAACGCUAGAAUAGUCCAAUACCUUUAGAAUUGGGAGAUUGAAUAGGAGCCCAAAACUUGAGUCCAUUGAAUUAUCUUCUCAGAUUUAGUUUACAUCUUACAACUGGCACGUGAUAUAUUAUGUAAUACGUUUUGCUCUCUCGCAACCUAUUGGAGUCGCUUGUUAUUGCUAAGGUCACUCGUCACUUGUCACCACAUCCACCAUCGUAACGCAAUAGUCUCUAUAUUUCUCUUUCAAAAGUGGUCGGCCUCCAAGGUCACCCUUCACCGACCUUCAAUAGUUCCUUAAAGUAUAGUAGCUUAUAAAUAUUUUUGGGAUUACACCUUUGAUCUAAGAAGACCUUUGAC
rnacentral:lncRNA from 1 species